AUACCUUGGUGACGGCAUCUCCUUAAAAAAUCUUUGAACUACUCCCAUGCCUCAUAAAGAGAUUCCUCAUCCUGUUGUUGAAAAAAGGUAGUCUCAUUUCAAAGUUU